rnacentral:tRNA from 1 species
GCCGGUGUGGCGGAAUGGUAGACGCAGCGGAUUCAAAAUCCGCCGAGGUAACCCCUCGUGGGAGUUCGAGUCUCCCCACCGGCACCA